rnacentral:rRNA from 1 species
CGAUGAACGCUGGCGGCGUGCUUAACACAUGCAAGUCGAACGAUCCUUCGGGAUAGUGGCGGACGGGUGAGUAACGCGUGGGAAUCUGCCCUUAGGAGGGGGAUAACGGCUGGAAACGGCCGCUAAUACCCCAUAUGCCGAGAGGUGAAACGAAUUUCGCCUGAGGAUGAGCCCGCGUCUGAUUAGCUAGUUGGUGGGGUAAAGGCCUACCAAGGCGACGAUCAGUAGCUGGUCUGAGAGGAUGAUCAGCCACACUGGGACUGAGACACGGCCCAGACUCCUACGGGAGGCAGCAGUGGGGAAUUUUCCGCAAUGGGCGAAAGCCUGACGGAGCAACGCCGCGUGAGGGAUGAAGGCCUCUGGGCUGUAAACCUCUUUUCUCAAGGAAGAAGAACUGACGGUACUUGAGGAAUAAGCCACGGCUAAUUCCGUGCCAGCAGCCGCGGUAAUACGGGAGUGGCAAGCGUUAUCCGGAAUUAUUGGGCGUAAAGCGUCCGCAGGCGGCCUUGUAAGUCUGUUGUUAAAGCGUGGAGCUCAACUCCAUUUAAGCAAUGGAAACUACAAGGCUGGAGUGUGGUAGGGGCAGAGGGAAUUCCCGGUGUAGCGGUGAAAUGCGUAGAUAUCGGGAAGAACACCAGUGGCGAAGGCGCUCUGCUGGGCCAUAACUGACGCUCAUGGACGAAAGCCAGGGGAGCGAAAGGGAUUAGAUACCCCUGUAGUCCUGGCCGUAAACGAUGAACACUAGGUGUCGGGGGAAUCGACCCCCUCGGUGUCGUAGCCAACGCGUUAAGUGUUCCGCCUGGGGAGUACGCACGCAAGUGUGAAACUCAAAGGAAUUGACGGGGGCCCGCACAAGCGGUGGAGUAUGUGGUUUAAUUCGAUGCAACGCGAAGAACCUUACCAGGGUUUGACAUCCUGCGAAUCCCUUGGAAACGAGGGAGUGCCUUCGGGAGCGCAGUGACAGGUGGUGCAUGGCUGUCGUCAGCUCGUGUCGUGAGAUGUUGGGUUAAGUCCCGCAACGAGCGCAACCCACGUCUUUAGUUGCCAGCAUUCAGUUGGGCACUCUAGAGAGACCGCCGGUGAUAAACCGGAGGAAGGUGUGGAUGACGUCAAGUCAUCAUGCCCCUUACAUCCUGGGCUACACACGUACUACAAUGCUACGGACAAAGGGCAGCAAGCUCGCGAGAGUUAGCAAAUCCCAUAAACCGUGGCUCAGUUCAGAUCGUAGGCUGCAACUCGCCUACGUGAAGGAGGAAUCGCUAGUAAUCGCAGGUCAGCAUACUGCGGCGAAUACGUUCCCGGGCCUUGUACACACCGCCCGUCACACCAUGGAAGUUGGCCAUGCCCGAAGUCGUUACUCCAACCCUUG